GCCACUUACUGUAAUGUAAAUCAGUUUGUCAGAGAUUAUCAAUGGAUUCUCACAGGAACAAAUAUAAUACAAAAUGGAAACUGUAUGAAUAAAGGACUGCAUUAAGGACGGUGACCUCUAUAGCCUAUUGAUAGAGAAUAAUUUCAUUUGGACACGUACUUUCUGGCAUUUGUGGAGCAACGCUGAUGAAGUGCAAUAAUGUAAAGCUUCAAGAUUGUAUUUUCUGACCUCUAACUUUGAGAUGCUACAGAGGGCCCCUGAAGCAUCCAAAAGAGAGGUAAGCAG
rnacentral:lncRNA from 10 species